rnacentral:lncRNA from 1 species
CACAAGUCACAAACACACACACAACCCUAAAAAUGCAUUCAUUCCAUAUACAUCUCUACCCAACUCUAGUAGCGUUGCAGCAGCGAGAAGUCAGUAGCCACUAGGUUUCAUGUUUUUGCUGUCCAAGAAAGGCCUAAAGCCGAGCCACCGGAGGUGAUUAUAAAGAAGCCCGACAACAUUUAUUUUCGUGUCAAUUCCCCGGUUGUUGAUGAACACAUCACACGGUGAGAUUUCUUUUCGUGUCAAUUUCAUUUUUUUUUUAAUUUAUUUGGUUUGAUUAGUUCAAGGUCGGACCUAUAUACUACAUGAAGUAUUUAUAAGGUGUGAUUAUCUUCAUUGUUUCUCAAAUAGGUAAUUUGUCUUCUGGUACAGUGGAAGAAGCUCUGGAGCAUCCUUAUCUUCCAAAAUUACAUGAUAUAGCUGAUGAGCCAGUGUGCCCCGAGCCAUUCUCCUUUGAUUUGAGAAGCAAAUCUUGU